rnacentral:rRNA from 1 species
AGGACGAACGCUGGCGGCGUGCCUAACACAUGCAAGUGGAGCGACGAACCAGGCUUCGGCCUGGGGCAAAGCCGCGAACGGGUGAGUAACACGUGGGCAACCUGCCCCUAGCACUGGGAUAACUCCGGGAAAACCGGGGCUAAUACCGGAUAUGACCUUGGAAGGCAUCUUCCUUGGUGUAAAGGAUUCUGGCUAGGGAUGGGCCCGCGGCCUAUCAGCUUGUUGGUGGGGUAACGGCCUACCAAGGCGACGACGGGUAGCCGGCCUGAGAGGGCGACCGGCCACACUGGGACUGAGACACGGCCCAGACUCCUACGGGAGGCAGCAGUGGGGAAUAUUGCACAAUGGGCGAAAGCCUGAUGCAGCGACGCCGCGUGAGGGAUGACGGCCUUCGGUUGUAAACCUCUUUCAGCAGGGACGAAGCGAAAGUGACGGUACCUGCAGAGAAGCACCGGCCAACUACGCGCCAGCAGCCGC